GUGUGUUUGUGCGUAGCCAUGUGAAGGAAACCGAUAAAUUACUGAAGUGUGCUGAGCUGAAAGAAAACUCAAUAACGGCGGUGAGCCUUACAACCUGUCAGUCUCGGCGCAUGAAUGUAAUGGCCAAUCAGAAGUUUAGAUGAGUCACCGCUUGCUUAUAAAAACAACAGGAAGAAGACUUCAGUCCAGGAGGAUGUCUCCAGUUCAGGAAAAACAUACAGGACCAGAGUCAGUUACAAAUAAUGUUUUUUUCAAUGAUAUAUUGUAUAGAUCUAACAAUGUAGUUUUUUUAUU